rnacentral:piRNA from 1 species
UACCGCCUAGGGAUUCUGCUAGCAAG